UGAAUACGAGAUGCUACGGCGUCGAAGCAGUGUAUGUCAGACUUCCAAGAAAAGCUCGCAAUGUCAUAAAUAAAGAAUGCCUGUACCAUAACCGACACAGGUGGGUAGGUAGAGUAUACUAAGGGGCGCGAGAUAACUCUCUCUAAGGAACUCGGCAAAAUAACUCCGUAACUUCGGGAGAAGGAGUGCCUUCUUUAAGAAGGUUGCAAUAACAAGAUCCAAGCAACUGUUUAUCAAAAACACAGGUCUCCGCUAAGUCGUAAGACGAUGUAUGGGGGCUGACGCCUGCCCAGUGCCAGAAGGUUAAAGAAGUUGGUUAGCUUUUGCGAAGCUGACGACUGAAGCCCUGGUGAACGGCGGCCGUAACUAUAACGGUCCUAAGGUAGCGAAAUUCCUUGUCGGGUAAGUUCCGACCCGCACGAAAGGCGUAAUGAUUUGGAUACUGUCUCGGAGAGGGACUCGGUGAAAUAGACUUGUCUGUGAAGAUGCGGACUACCUGCACCAGGACAGAAAGACCCUAUGAAGCUUUACUGUAACUUGAAAUUGAAAUUGGACUUUAUUUGCGCAGUAUAGGUGGAAGGCGUUGAAAGUAAUCUUGCGGGAUUAGUGGAGCCAUCAGUGAGAUACCACUCCUAUAAUGUUAGAUUUCUAACUUUGGAUCAUGAUCUGGUCAAAGAACAGUUUCAGGCGGGCAGUUUGACUGGGGCGGUCGCCUCCCAAAUGGUAACGGAGGCGUACAAAGGUUUCCUCUGAACGGGUAGAAAUCGUAUCUAGAGUGUAAAGGCAUAAGGAAGCUUGACUGUGAGACCUACAAGUCGAGCAGGGACGAAAGUCGGUCUUAGUGAUCUGACGGUGCUGAGUGGAAAGGCCGUCACUCAACGGAUAAAAGUUACUCUAGGAUAACAGGCUGAUCUCCCCCAAGAGUUCACAUCGACGGGGAGGUUUGGCACCUCGAUGUCGGCUCAUCGCAUCCUGGGGCGGUAGUACGUCCCAAGGGUUGGGCUGUUCGCCCAUGAAAGCGGUACGCGAGCUGGGUUCAGAACGUCGUGUGACAGUUCGGUCCAUAUCCGGUGUAGGCGUUAGAAUAUUGAGAGGAGCCUUCUUUAGUACGAGAGGACCGAGAAGGACAUACCUCUGGUGUACCAGUUAUCGUGCCAACGGUAAACGCUGGGUAGCUAUGUAUGGAGAGGAUAACCGCUGAAAGCAUCUAAGUGGGAAGCCCACCUCAAGAUGAGUAUUCC
rnacentral:rRNA from 1 species